rnacentral:sRNA from 1 species
UAUAAAAGGUUCAAAUCAUAAUGUAAACUCAGGGGGAAAUGAAAAAUGGGAACAAUCGUAUGUCAAGUUUGUGAAGGAACAAUUGCACAUUUUGAAGAUGAAAAGACAACAGUACUUUACGGGAAAUGCGGAACUCAUUGCGAGUGUAGUCACAAAGAGCAUACAAAAGCAUAAUUAUUAAAAAGCGCCUGCAAUUGCGAGGCGCUUUUUUUA